rnacentral:ncRNA from 1 species
UCUACUGACCCUCGUCGAACUGCAUAAUCCUAAGUGUAAGUUCGCACAUAAACAAAUCCCUAUCCUGUGAGCUCUCACCUCUGGUGCCAAGCACAGGUCCUCUCAUGCAGCGCAGGGACAGUGCCAGGUGGGGAGUUUGACUGGGACCGUACACCUGCCAAAUGGUGAUGCAGGUGUCCCAAGGCGAGUUCAGGGAGGACAGAAACCUCCUGUGGAGCAGUAGAGCAAACCCUCGCUUAUUCUUGAUUUCAGACCUUGAAAGCAGGGCCUCACCAGUCUUCUGACCUUUGGGGUUUUAAGCAGGAAGUGUCAGAAAAGUUACCACAGGGAUAACUGGCCUGUGGUGGCCCAGCAUUCACAGGGACGUCACUUUUUGAUCCUUCGAUGUCGAUGUCGACUCUUCCUAUCAUUGUGAGGCAGAAUUCACCAAGUGUUGGAUUGUUCACCCACAAGUAGGGAAUGUGAGCUGGGUUUAGAUGUGAGACAGU